rnacentral:rRNA from 1 species
UGGGGAAUCUUCCGCAAUGGACGAAAGUCUGACGGAGCAACGCCGCGUGAGUGAAGAAGGUUUUCGGAUCGUAAAACUCUGUCUUUUGGGGCGAACGUGAGUAUGGUGAACAAUCAUAGUCAGUGACGGUACCAAAGGAGGAAGCCACGGCUAACUACGUGCCAGCAGCCGCGGUAAUACGUAGGUGGCAAGCGUUGUCCGGAAUUAUUGGGCGUAAAGAGCGCGUAGGCGGGAUAGUCAGUCUGUUGUAAAGUGCGGGGCUCAACCCCGUGAUCGCAAUGGAAACAGCUAUUCUUGAGUGCAGGAGAGGAAAGUGGAAUUCCCAGUGUAGCGGUGAAAUGCGUAGAUAUUGGGAGGAACACCAGUGGCGAAGGCGACUUUCUGGACUGUGUCUGACGCUGAGGCGCGAAAGCCAGGGGAGCGAACGGGAUUAGAUACCCCGGUAGUCCUGGCCGUAAACGAUGGGUACUAGGUGUGGGAGGUAUCGACCCCUUCCGUGCCGGAGUUAACGCAAUAAGUACCCCGCCUGGGGAGUACGGUCGCAAGACUGAAACUCAAAUGAAUUGACGGGGUCAUAGCUGUUUCC